rnacentral:rRNA from 1 species
CCUACGGGUGGCAGCAGUGAGGAAUAUUGGUCAAUGGGCUUACGCCUGAACCAGCCAAGUCGCGUGAGGGAAGACUGCCCUAUGGGUUGUAAACCUCUUUUGUCAGGGAGCAACGCCGGCUACGUGUAGCCGGACUGAGAGUACCUGAAGAAAAAGCAUCGGCUAACUCCGUGCCAGCAGCCGCGGUAAUACGGAGGGUGCAAGCGUUGUCCGGAAUCAUUGGGCGUAAAGAGUUCGUAGGUGGCAUAUUAAGUCUGGUGUUAAAUGCAGAAGCUCAAUUUCUGUUCGGCAGUGGAGACGGGAAGGCUGGAGUGCGGGAGGGGAAAGGGGAAUCCGGGGUGUAGGGGUGAAAUGCGUAGAUAUGAGGAGGAA